AUUGAACGCUGGCGGCAGGCCUAACACAUGCAAGUCGAGCGAGCGGCGGACGGGUGAGUAAUGUAUGGGGACUGCCCGAUAGAGGGGGAUAACUACUGGAACCGGUAGCUAAUAACGCAUACUAUCGGAUAAACCCUAGGGGAUUAGCUAGUAGGUGUGGUAAUGGCUAACCUAGGCGACGAUCCCUAGCUGGUCUGAGAGGAUGAUCAGCCACACUGUGAUUGAGACACGGCCCAGACUCCUACGGAGGCAGCAGUGGGGAAUAGUGCACAAUGGGCGCAAGCCUGAUGCAGCCAUGCCGCGUGUAUGAAGAAGGCCCUAGGGUUGUAAAGUACUUUCAGUCGGGAGGCGUUACCGACAGAAGAAGCACCGGCUAACUCCGUGCCAGCCGCCGCGGUAAUUC
rnacentral:rRNA from 1 species